rnacentral:rRNA from 1 species
GAUGAACGCUGGCGGCGUGCCUAAUACAUGCAAGUCGAACGAAGAUCUAGCUUGCUAGAUCUUAGUGGCGAACGGGUGAGUAAUACAUAAAUAAUCUGCCCAUAUGACUGGGAUAACUAUUGGAAACGAUAGCUAAUACCGGAUAGGUUGAUCGGAGGCAUCUCUGAUGAAUUAAAGUAGGAUUUCUACACAAAUGGAUGAGUUUAUGGCGCAUUAGUUAGUUGGUGGGGUAACGGCCUACCAAGACGAUGAUGCGUAGCCGACCUGAGAGGGUGACCGGCCACACUGGGACUGAGACACGGCCCAGACUCCUACGGGAGGCAGCAGUAGGGAAUUUUCGGCAAUGGGCGCAAGCCUAACCGAGCAACGCCGCGUGAGUGAUUAAGGCCUUCGGGUUGUAAAGCUCUGUUGUAAGGGAAGAACAUUCAGGAUAGGAAAUGAUCUUGAACUGACGGUACCUUACCAGAAAGCCACGGCUAACUACGUGCCAGCCGCCGCAGUAA